GUUAGGAAUAUUGGACAAUGGGCGAAAGCCUGAUCCAGCCAUGCCGCGUGAACGAUGAAGGCCUUCGGGUUGUAAAGUUCUUUAGCCGAUGAUUAUAAUGACUGUAGUCGGAAAAUAAGCCCCGGCUAACUUCGUGCCAGCAGCCGCGGUAAUACGAAGGGGGCGAGCGUUAUUCGGAAUCACUGGGCGUAAAGCGUGCGGAGGCGGUUUUGUAAGUUAGGAGUGAAAGCCCAGGGCUCAACCUUGGAAUUGCUCUUAAAACUGCAAGGCUCGAAUCUCGGAGAGGAUAGCGGAAUUUCCAGUGUAGCAGUGAAAUGCGUAGAUAUUGGAAGGAACACCAGUGGCGUAAGCGGCUAUCUGGACGAGUAUUGACGCUGAGGCACGAAAGCGUGGGGAUCAAACAGGAUUAGAUACCCCAGUAGUCC
rnacentral:rRNA from 1 species